AACGCUAGCUACAGGCUUAACACAUGCAAGUCGAGGGGCAGCAUGGUCUUAGCUUGCUAAGGCCGAUGGCGACCGGCGCACGGGUGAGUAACACGUAUCCAACCUGCCGUCUACUCUUGGACAGCCUUCUGAAAGGAAGAUUAAUACAAGAUGGCAUCAUGAGUCCACAUGUUCACAUGAUUAAAGGUAUUCCGGUAGACGAUGGGGAUGCGUUCCAUUAGAUAGUAGGCGAGGUAACGGCCCACCUAGUCUUCGAUGGAUAGGGGUUCUGAGAGGAAGGUCCCCCACAUUGGAACUGAGACACGGUCCAAACUCCUACGGGAGGCAGCAGUGAGGAAUAUUGGUCAAUGGGCGAGAGCCUGAACCAGCCAAGUAGCGUGAAGGAUGACUGCCCUAUGGGUUGUAAACUUCUUUUAUAAAGGAAUAAAGUCGGGUAUGGAUACCCGUUUGCAUGUACUUUAUGAAUAAGGAUCGGCUAACUCCGUGCCAGCAGCCGCGGUAAUACGGAGGAUCCGAGCGUUAUCCGGAUUUAUUGGGUUUAAAGGGAGCGUAGAUGGAUGUUUAAGUCAGUUGUGAAAGUUUGCGGCUCAACCGUAAAAUUGCAGUUGAUACUGGAUAUCUUGAGUGCAGUUGAGGCAGGCGGAAUUCGUGGUGUAGCGGUGAAAUGCUUAGAUAUCACGAAGAACUCCGAUUGA
rnacentral:rRNA from 1 species